rnacentral:rRNA from 1 species
AUGGCAGAAUGCUUCAAUAAGGUGCUCAAGGGUGUACGUGCAUUACCCGUGACGGCAAUAGUUCAAUACACAUUUGACAAGAUGAAUGCAUACUUUUUAAAGUACUCAAUGGAGACUAAUAAGCAGAUUGCUGGUGAGAACAAGGAUAAGCACAAGUACAAUUUCCCACCAAAGGUUGAAGAAUGGUUGGAAUUUCAAUCACGAAAGGCAGAUUCUGAAGAAGCUGUACUAUAUGACGACAACGAGUGGAAGUAUGAGGUGAAAGAGCCCGGAGGAACCACAAACGAUGGCCGCCAACACGGAGGCCGGGCUUUCAAGGUCUCCCUAACACGGUGUGAUUGCAGCUGCAUGAGGCCGUCUUUGCUUCAUCUCCCAUGCUCGCACUUGUUAAAUGCAUCCCGGGUUAGGAAUGUGGACGUCAAUCACCCUCUUACCGUGAGGGAGUCCGAGUUCUCAAUCAUGACGGUAAAGAAUACAUGGACUCCACGGUUCCAGCCAUACUUGGACCAAUCACAAUGGCCGGAGUAUCAUGGAGUUCAACUAUGGCCGGACCCG